rnacentral:misc_RNA from 1 species
AAGUCGUAACAAGGUCUCCGUAGGUGAACCUGCGGAGGGAUCAUUACCGAGUGAGGGCCUCCGGGUCCGACCUCCAACCCUUUGUGAACACAUCCCGUUGCUUCGGGGGCGACCCUGCCGGGCGCCCCCGGAGGACCACACAACACUGCAUCUUUGCGUCGGAGUUUACGAGUAAAUCGAAACAAAA